rnacentral:rRNA from 1 species
GACGUAGGGGGCCAGCGUUGUUCGGAAUUACUGGGUGUGAAGGGUUCGUAGGCGGUGUGGCAAGUUGGGAGUGAAAUUUCCGGGCCUAACUCAGAAGCUGCUUCCGAAACUGCUGUGCUAGAGUGCGGGAGAGGCGCGUGGAAUUGCAGGUGUAGCGGUGAAAUGCGUAGAUAUCUGCAGGAACACCCGUGGCGAAAGCGGCGCGCUGGACCGUUACUGACGCUGAGGAACGAAAGCUAGGGGAG